CUGGGAAUGAUCUGCCCGGGUCAGCUAGCCAAAACUAGCUCUCCAGACACAGGCCUGGCUUGGAGCUCCGGCUUUGGGUGGAGUUCAGGUCGGGUUAUAUCUGGCACGGCCGUUCCCUCUCGCCGGCUGCAGCUGCCCGGGGUGGGGACGGCUGGGUAUGCUCCGCCACUUGCACUGACUGGUGGCCCGCAGGUGCUGGGCCAGCCAUUUACAUAACCACGCUUGGUCUCCCCCGCCUGGCGUGCUGUCCCACCCCCUCACCUCUCACCAGGAAAAGGCUGAGGGUCUGAGAGCAGGAGCCGACUCUGAGCCCCACUGAGCUCUUUGAGUACUUUAUUUCACUUCUGCGUUUCACUUUUACUGUCCUGGGUGAAAUGUGUCUGUUUUUCAGCCCCUCGUGCAGCAGCAACUGGGCGCAGGAUGCCUCCAUCCUGGGCCGACCAGGGGUGGGGGUGAGCAGCUGGUGGACCCGGGUGGGUGCGAGCAGGGGCCUCAUCAGGCCCAGAAGCUUCAGGAGGCACAUCUGCAUUUCCUGGGACAGGACCAAGGGAAGGCUGUGAAGACGGGCACCGUAGGCACAGAGAGAUUCUCCUCUGUCACAUCAGCGCUACUGCAGUGGCAGGAGAGGGCCUCGAGGCUCUGGUGGCUGGGGCUGGGGCUCUGACCAGAGCCACUGGGAAGGAAGAGGCUGGGGUCAAAGAGAUGUGAGCAAACGGUGGGACUUUGUUCAAUAGAUCAGCACUGCCUCCUGGGGCUUGAGCUCCCUCCUCGUAGGAGGAUGAAAACCACGUGUCAGAGGGACUUCCACGCAUACACGUACAUGAAUAUCCACAGCAGCAUGACUCACAACAGUUGAAGGCAGAAACUGCCCAAGCGUCCAUCGUCCGGGGAUGGAUAAACAGAACAGGCCACCGAACGGUGGAAUAGUACUCAGCCAUGAAAAGGGACGGAACCCUGACACAGGCUGCAACAGGGAUGAACCUCGAAAACAUCCAGCUCAGUGAGAGAAGCCAGACACAGAAGGCCAUGUGGACCAUGAUCCCAUGUGUAUGAAACUUCCAGAACAGGCAAAUCCAUGGAGAAAGCCGACCGGGGCAUUCCAGGCACUGGGGGAGGGCGACGGGGAGCGACUGCUGACAGGGUCCGGGGUCUUCUUUCAGGACGAUGGAAAUGUCCUAGAAUUAGAUACUGGGGGUAGUUCAUGGCUUUGCGAACGCACAAAAUGCCACUGAAUUGUCCACUUUAAAAUGGUUCAUUUUAGGGGCGCCUGGGUGGCUCAGAGGGUUAAAGCCUCUGCCUUCGGGUCAGGUCAUGAUCCCAGGGUCCUGGGAUCGAGCCCUGCAUUGGGCUCUCUGCUCAGCAGGGAGCCUCUUCCUCCUCUCUCUCCUCUGCCUGCCUCUCUGCCUACUUGUGAUCUCUGUCUGUCAAAUAAAUAAAAUAUCUUUUAAAAAUAAUA